rnacentral:sRNA from 1 species
GUAGAUGCGAUGGCGCCGAUUCCGAAGACUGUGGGGCGGAUCAAGCUAGACUGCCCUCUACGGCCCAGCUGCCCACUGGAGGUCGCUGCUGUACCCAAACUUUGCAAGGAAUUCGGUCCAGAGGAUUACGGCGAAGAGGACAUAGUGGAUUUUCUUCGACGGCUUGUGGAGAGUGAUCCCCAGGGCCUGCACCGGAUCCAUGUGGAUGGGAGCAGCGGGCGGCUGCAGCUGUGGCACCAUGAUUACCUCCUGGGCCACUUGGAUGAUGAAGGGAAAUCAACUGGACAGAGUGACAGGGGCAAGGGGGCUGAGGGACUGGGCACCUACUGUGGUCUCCGCAAGUCCUUCCUGUAUCCUCCCCAAGAGUCUGAGCCCUGCCCUCAAAGCCCCUCUGCCUCUGCCACCUUCCCCAGUGUCUCAGACAGCCUGCUUCAGGUGGCCAUGCCCCAGAAGCUCCUGGUGACAGAAGAGGAAGCCAAUCGCCUGGCUGAGGAGCUGGUGGCUGAGGAGGAGCGCAUGAAACAGAAAGCAGAGAAAAAGCGACUCAAGAAGAAGCGUCAAAAGGAACGGAAGCGACAGGAGCGUUUGGAGCAGUACUGUGGGGAGCCCAAGGCCAGCACUACCUCAGAUGGAGAAGAGAGCCCCCCAUCCAGCCCUGGAAACCCAGUUCAGGGACAGUGUGGUGAAGAAGAGGACUCACUGGAUCUAUCUAGCACUUUUGUGUCUCUGGCUUUGCGCAAGGUUGGGGAUUGGCCCCUCAGUGCCCGCAGAGAGAAGGGACUGAACCAGGAGCCCGAAGGCAGGGGUCUGGCCCUCCAGAAGAUGGGUCAAGAGGAAGAGAGCCCUCCAAGAGAGGAGAGGCCCCAGCAGAGUCCAAAGGAGAAGGAUUUGGGGAGGCUGAGACCUCAAGACCUGCUUGACUUUGCACCCUAUCCCCAGGCAUCUCCGGGACUGCUGGCAGCUGCCUUACAACAGAGCCAGGAACUGGCAAAGUUGGGUACCAGCUUUGCUCAGAAUGGUUUCUACCAUGAGGCCGUGGUCCUCUUCACCCAGGCCUUGAAGCUCAACCCCCAGGACCACCGGUAGGUGGGGGCUUGGCCAGGGCAGGGCAGAGUGUUGAGGACUCAGACCUUUGGCCACCUUCUGUCUUUAUCAGGUUAUUUGGAAAUCGUUCCUUCUGCCAUGAGCGGUUGGGUCAGCCAGCGUGGGCCCUGGCUGAUGCCCAGGUGGCCCUUACCCUACGGCCUGGCUGGCCCCGGGGCCUCUUCCGCCUGGGCAAGGCCUUGAUGGGACUACAGCGCUUCAGAGAGGCAGCUGCUGUGUUUCAGGAAACUCUGAGAGAUGGGUCCCAGCCUGACGCAGCCCGAGAGCUCCGCUCUUGCCUUCUCCACCUCACACUGCAGGGUCAGCGAGGAGGAAUCUGUGCACCACCUCUGUCACCUGGGGCCCUCCAGCCACUUCCCCAUGCUGAGCUGGCACCCUCAGGCCUACCUUCCCUCAGGUGCCCUCGAAGCACUGCUUUGAGGUCCCCUGGCCUGUCUCCACUCUUGCAUUAUCCUUCA